GGGAGAGUAGCUCAGAUGUAGAGCACAUGCCUGGCAUGAAUGAGGUCCUGGGUGCCAGCCCUAGCACCUCCA
rnacentral:tRNA from 1 species